UUUAAGAUAUUUUUUUGGCAGUGUCCAGAGAAAUUGAUGGAAAUUCCUAUGUUUUCCCAACGCUAGAUGGCUUUAAUCAAUUUCCUUUUUCACUGCGAGAUGGCUCCCCGUUAUGUUCACCUUUCUUAUUUUAAAUAAUGUCACAACGGAAAACUGCAUUACCUUUAUCACCGGUUGGACAUUGAUGGCUGCAUCAUUUUUUUAGAUGACUGUUUGCCAUCAACUUGUGACUCUGUCUUGAAGCAUGAGUGGAUCCAGCUAGAAUUUUCAAGGGGGCCAUGUCGUCGUCACUUUUAUUACGUUUUAGAGGCACCAUUUAGUCAUUUAGUCGUUUACUAUUAUUAUUUGUCCAAUAAAGCAACAAUUUAUUUUUUAAAAUUGAGAA